GAGUGGUGAAAUUGGUUCGAACAAUUUUUAUUCGAAAACUGAACGUUUUAGGGGAGGUCAAAGGAGUUGACUUUUUAUACGUUCAUAAUUGGGGAAAACUUCCUUCAUGAAAGUUGUAGAGCUCGUCGAUACGAUCUCGUGCAUAUGUGGUAUGCAAAAAUCAGAGUUCGUAUGAAUUAGUUAUGAUUUUUUUGAAAAAGUUUCCAGUUUAGUAUAAAGCUGCCAUUUUUGGAAAUUACCAAAAAUAAUUUCAGUUCCAUUUCUGGAAACCGAACUCUCUCUCUCUUGCGCGCGUCCGAGCCCAGAAAAAACAGAGCAAAGCUCUCCGGCCGAGUUCUCCCUCCUCCGGCCACCAAUCGACACCAGACCACCUCCCUUGCCUUCGCCUCGACGCCGCCUACCUGCUAGACGUGAUCACUUCCACCGGAACGGCCUCAAAUCCGGCAGUCGGAGCCGCAAACUUUGAAACAAAAAUCGGUCAACGCCGGUUUUCUCCUAGCUCCGGCCACCAAAACUCACGAUCCUUAGCUCCCUGAACUCGCCUCAACCUUCUGAUCAUCAUUCUAGAAGGAUCGCACCUGGAGUGAUCGGAUUCACGUUCGUCGGAGCUCGCCGGAUUCUGGAAAUUUUCCACCACCACCGAAGCUUUUGAUAGAAGGAAUCGAAGCCUGAAAUUGAAGUUUUGACGUCGAAAUCAAGCCUUGCCGGAUUCUGCAAAAUUCUGGAAUUUUUCCGACCACCGAAGCUUUCGAUCGGUAUAUCUCGAGCUACAGACCAUAUUUUUCUGUGAUUCUUGAACCAGUGAGUUCUUCUUGAGUUUCUUAACAACUCUUCAGAAGGAAUCGAAGCCUUAAAUUGACGUUUUUACGUCGAAUUGGAGCUCGCCGUUUUCUGCAGUUUCUCGCCGGUUUCUGGAAAAUUCCGGCCACCUUCAUACUGUUCAAGGUGAUCGACGGUUUGAUUUGGCGGACGAUUCGUGAAAUUGUAUUUUGAGCUGUUAAGAAGACGCAGCGGGAAUUUAGAG